AGAGCUGGUUGCUGGUAGUUCUUUAAAUUUUGGAGUAAAAUGGCAGAUAGGGCUUGGAUCUGGAAUAAGUAAAUCCCUGCUUUGGUGUGAGUCUUCUUGGCUUUGACCUCAUUUAUGUGCUACAAUUUUUUCACUGGCUUCUGGAAUUCUCAGAAAGGGAUGGGCAUAGAACUACGCUAGGAACUUCUUCAAACACUGCUGAGGGCUUCACGG
rnacentral:lncRNA from 10 species